rnacentral:rRNA from 1 species
UACGUAGGGUGCGAGCGUUAAUCGGAAUUACUGGGCGUAAAGCGUGCGCAGGCGGUUACAUAAGACAGAUGUGAAAUCCCCGGGCUUAACCUGGGAACUGCGUUUGAAACUGGGGAGCUAGAGUGUAGAAGAGGGGGGUGGAAUUCCAGGUGUAGCAGUGAAAUGCGUAGAGAUCUGGAGGAACACCGAUGGCGAAGGCAGCCCCCUGGGCUAACACUGACGCUCAUGCACGAAAGCGUGGGGAGCGAACAGG